rnacentral:rRNA from 1 species
UACGUAGGGUGCAAGCGUUAAUCGGAAUUACUGGGCGUAAAGCGUGCGCAGGCGGUUGUGUAAGACAGAUGUGAAAUCCCCGGGCUCAACCUGGGAACUGCAUUUGUGACUGCACAGCUGGAGUGCGGCAGAGGGGGAUGGAAUUCCGCGUGUAGCAGUGAAAUGCGUAGAUAUGCGGAGGAACACCGAUGGCGAAGGCAAUCCCCUGGGCCUGAACUGACGCUCAUGCACGAAAGCGUGGGUAGCAAACAGG